AGAAUGAACGCUGGCGGCGUGCUUUACACAUGCAAGUUGAGCGAGGCCACCCGCAAGGGUGAGUCGAGCGGCGAACGGGUGAGUAACGCGUGGAUAACCUGCCCUGAGGUGGGGAAUAACCCGGGGAAACUCGGGCUAAUACCGCAUGAUACCUAGCGGUACAAAGAGGGCUCGCAAGAGCUCUUGCCACAGGAGGGUCCGCGUUCGAUUAGCUAGUUGGUAGGUAAUGGCCUACCAAGGCGACGAUCGAUAGCCGGCCUGAGAGGGUGAUCGGCCACGACUGGAACUGAGACACGGCCCAGACUCCUACGGGAGGCAGCAGUGGGAAUUUGCGACAAGUGGACCUAACGCCUGACGCGACGCGAACGCCGCGUGGAGAGUGAAGGUCUUGGUAUUAGUAAACCUC
rnacentral:rRNA from 1 species